GACGAACGCUGGCGGCGUGCUUAACACAUGCAAGUCGAACGGUAAGGCCCUUCGGGGUACACGAGUGGCGAACGGGUGAGUAACACGUGGGUGAUCUGCCCUGCACUUCGGGAUAAGCCUGGGAAACUGGGUCUAAUACCGGAUAGGACCACUGCCUGCAUGGGUGGUGGUGGAAAGCUUUUGCGGUGUGGGAUGGGCCCGCGGCCUAUCAGCUUGUUGGUGGGGUGAUGGCCUACCAAGGCGACGACGGGUAGCCGGCCUGAGAGGGUGACCGGCCACACUGGGACUGAGAUACGGCCCAGACUCCUACGGGAGGCAGCAGUGGGGAAUAUUGCACAAUGGGCGCAAGCCUGAUGCAGCGACGCCGCGUGAGGGAUGACGGGCUUCGGGUUGUAAACCUCUUUCAGCACCGACGAAGCGCAAGUGACGGUAGGUGCAGAAGAAGGACCGGCCAACAACGUGCCAGCCGCCGCAGUAACAC
rnacentral:rRNA from 1 species